ensembl:lncRNA
AAAGCUCCUCACUGAGAACUACUGAUGGGAGGUGGCUGUGAAGGAGGGGUGCCGGUCGAUGAAACCUUCCCCUGGUUCACCUUGUGAUGGAAAAAUUUGAACAGCAAAGGGAGAACAGAUGAUAAUGUGCUGCACCCUGUACAACAUAGCAGGAUGUAGCUUCCUGGUGAGAAAAACUUCACAUGGAUUAUCAAAAAGGUUGCUUGUUUGUUUUUUAUCAGGUUUUAGAAAGACAGAACUGCUUUUGCCUGACUGCUGCUCUUCACAAAGCUUCAACUGUGCUGUUCUGAUGUGUUCCUUUUCACAGUGCUCUGUGUUGUGUAUUGGUAUCAUAUAUGCCUACAUAGUUGCCGUUAAUUUUAUGACUAAUAGAGUAUAUACUGUAAGAGUAACACCAAUCUGUUGCUUCUAUGAAUUGUGAUGGGUAAGAAGUUGUAUAGACCUUCCACAGACCAGAUCUUCACAUCCCUGUUUCUCCUGGCUGCUUUUUGAGUACUUCAUAGGUGUCACUGACUGUGAGCAAAGAGUCAUCCAAAAUAAAGUAAGGCUGUCACUGAUUCUUCACUAUUCCUCUCAAAGUUUAAGAGAGCAGUUCUGACUUUAGCAAACACAUUUCUUCAGUUAAUAAGUGUAUGUUAUUUGAUAUUAAUGUAGCUUGGAGCAAACAAUCUCAUGCUUGAAUUCUUAGGUGGCUUCUGUCUCCAUGAGGGAAUCCCAUGUUUGUGACUAGGCAGGAAUUAAUGGGGAGGGGAGAAGGCUGCACCCCAUUUUGAGGUGCUAGAGGUGAUCAAAAGACUGAUAAGGGAAAUCUCUAGCUGAAAAAAUUGUGUGAAUGUGACACUCUGGACCCAGUAGUAUCACACUUGGAGCAAGUCUGUAACUGCCACAGUCACAGCUCUACAGAAGGUAGAGUGACAGAAGCAAGUGCCAUUUCAAAUAGACUUCUUGUCUACAAGACGAGACAGCUGUACUGUGUGGCACUUUAACGUGCUCUUCGUUUCUGACUUGGAUGAAGAAAAUGAGAACAAGCAGAGUGAUUUUAAGAGCUUUGCACUUGUCGUUCUUCCUAUCUUGUCACAUCCCAAUCCUUCUUAG